rnacentral:snoRNA from 1 species
GGUCAAUGAUGAGACUUGGCAUGUAUUAUCUGACUCUUAAAGUUGAAGAUCACUGCUUCAGCUCUAGAAUUACUCUGAGACCUA